GGAAUGUAGCUCAGUGGUAGAGUGCUGGCCAAGCAUGUACAGGGCUCUGGGUUCAAUCCCCAGAACCA
rnacentral:tRNA from 1 species